GACGAGGGAUCCUAGCGUUGUUCGGAAUCAUUGGGCGUAAAGCGGGUGUAGGCGGUCUUAUAAGUCAGGUGUGAAAUCCCAGGGCUCAACCCUGGAAGUGCACUUGAUACUGUAGGACUUGAGUGUGGUAGAGGUUACUGGAAUUCCUGGUGUAGUGGUAAAAUACGUAGAUAUCAGGAGGAAUACCGGAGGCGAAGGCGGGUAACUGGGCCAACACUGACGCUGAGAUCCGAAAGCGUGGGGAUCAAACAGG
rnacentral:rRNA from 1 species